rnacentral:misc_RNA from 1 species
AAGUCGUAACAAGGUUUCCGUAGGUGAACCUGCGGAAGGAUCAUUAUCAACGUAUCCACGUUUAUAAACCAAUCCGUGCACUGUCUGCUUAACCUUUGGGCUAUCGGCCGCUGUCUAUGGCGUUAAACUCAUUGUAUGGUUAUGGGUUUGCCAUGCGACAAUCUCAAGGCUGUCUCUCCAAAGUGUAUUAACCAUACGUUACAAAUUAUUAACCACUUGAACCAAUUUUAAUUAUUACUUUGUUUGAACUGAUUUGUUUCUUACUCAGCGCUCUUAACCGAGUGCAGAGAAGAAAUCGAAUUACGAAACAAUAAAAGAACAACUCUUAGCAACGGAUAUCUUGGUUCUC